CAAUAGCGUAUAUUAAAGUUGUUGCAGUUAAAAGGCUCGUAGUUGGAUUUGUGGUUCGUCCCGCCGGCUGGGUCAUUGACCUUUGCUGUGCUGGUCGUCCAUCCUUGGGUGGAAUCUGUGUGGCAUUAGGUUGUCGCGCAGGGGGUGCCCAUCGUUUACUGUGAAAAAAUUAGAGUGUUCAAAGCAGGCUUAUGCCGUUGAAUAUAUUAGCAUGGAAUAAUGAUAUAGGACCUUGGUACUAUUUUGUUGGUUUGCGCACUGAGGUAAUGAUUAAUAGGGACAGUUGGGGGUAUUCGUAUUCCAUUGUAAGAGGUGAAAUUCUUGGAUUUUUGGAAGACGAACUACUGCGAAAGCAUUUACCAAGGAUGUUUUCAUUAA
rnacentral:rRNA from 1 species